rnacentral:pre_miRNA from 1 species
AUCCCCUGGGGAUCUUGUUGAAAUGCAGAUUCUGAUCCCUGUAGGCCUAUGGUCCAGAUGAGACUCUGCAUUUCUACCAAGCUCCCAGGUGAUGCUAA